rnacentral:rRNA from 1 species
CCACUUCGGUGGGGAUUAGUGGCGAACGGGUGAGUAACACGUGGGCAAUCUGCCCUUCACUCUGGGACAAGCCCUGGAAACGGGGUCUAAUACCGGAUAACACUUCCACUCGCAUGGGUGGAGGUUAAAAGCUCCGGCGGUGAAGGAUGAGCCCGCGGCCUAUCAGCUUGUUGGUGAGGUAAUGGCUCACCAAGGCGACGACGGGUAGCCGGCCUGAGAGGGCGACCGGCCACACUGGGACUGAGACACGGCCCAGACUCCUACGGGAGGCAGCAGUGGGGAAUAUUGCACAAUGGGCGAAAGCCUGAUGCAGCGACGCCGCGUGAGGGAUGACGGCCUUCGGGUUGUAAACCUCUUUCAGCAGGGAAGAAGCGAAAGUGACGGUACCUGCAGAAGAAGCGCCGGCUAACUACGUGCCAGCAGCCGCGGUAAUACGUAGGGCGCAAGCGUUGUCCGGAAUUAUUGGGCGUAAAGAGCUCGUAGGCGGUCUGUCGCGUCGGAUGUGAAAGCCCGGGGCUUAACCCCGGGUCUGCAUUCGAUACGGGCAGACUAGAGUGUGGUAGGGGAGAUCGGAAUUCCUGGUGUAGCGGUGAAAUGCGCAGAUAUCAGGAGGAACACCGGUGGCGAAGGCGGAUCUCUGGGCCAUUACUGACGCUGAGGA